rnacentral:rRNA from 1 species
CAGGGAAUUUUGCGCAAUGGGCGAAAGCCUGACGCAGCGACGCCGCGUGGGGGAAGAAGGCCUUCGGGUUGUAAACCCCUUUUCUGGGGGAAGAGUAAGGACGGUACCCCAGGAAUAAGCCCCGGCUAACUACGUGCCAGCAGCCGCGGUAAUACGUAGGGGGCGAGCGUUGUCCGGAAUUACUGGGCGUAAAGGGCGCGUAGGCGGCCUAAGAAGUCUCCGGUGAAAUCUCCCGGCUUAACUGGGAGCGGUCCGGGGAAACUCUUGGGCUUGAGGACAGCAGAGGAGGGUGGAAUUCCCGGUGUAGUGGUGAAAUGCGUAGAUAUCGGGAGGAACACCAGUGGCGAAGGCGGCCCUCUGGGCUGUACCUGACGCUGAGGCGCGAAAGCGUGGGGAGCGAACCGG